rnacentral:rRNA from 1 species
AACGAACGCUGGCGGCAGGCUUAACACAUGCAAGUCGAACGCACCGCAAGGUGAGUGGCAGACGGGUGAGUAACACGUGGGGAUCUGCCCAAUGGUACGGAAUAGCUCCGGGAAACUGGAAUUAAUACAGUAUGUGCCCUUCGGGGGAAAGAUUUAUCGCCAUUGGGUGAACCCGCGUCGGAUUAGCUAGUUGGUGAGGUAAAGGCUCACCAAGGCGACGACCCGUAGCUGGUCUGAGAGGAUGAUCAGCCACACUGGGACUGAGACACGGCCCAGACUCCUACGGGAGGCAGCAGUGGGGAAUAUUGGACAAUGGGCGCAAGCCUGAUCCAGCCAUGCCGCGUGAGUGAUGAAGGCCUUAGGGUUGUAAAGCUCUUUCGCCGACGUAGAUAAUGACGGUAGUCGGAGAAGAAGCCCCGGCUAACUACGUGCCAGCAGCCGCGGUAAGAC